rnacentral:rRNA from 1 species
UACGUAGGGACCAAGCGUUGUUCGGAUUUACUGGGCGUAAAGGGCGCGUAGGCGGCGUGACAAGUCACUUGUGAAAUCUCUGAGCUUAACUCAGAACGGCCAAGUGAAACUGUUGUGCUAGAGUGCAGAAGGGCAAUCGGAAUUCUUGGUGUAGCGGUGAAAUGCGUAGAUAUCAAGAGGAACACCUGAGGUGAAGACGGGUUGCUGGGCUGACACUGACGCUGAGGCGCGAAAGCCAGGGGAGCAAACGGG